rnacentral:rRNA from 1 species
AUGCAGUCGAACGGAAAGGCCUUGUGCUUGCACAAGGUACUCGAGUGGCGAACGGGUGAGUAACACGUGGGUGAUCUGCCCUGCACUGUGGGAUAAGCCUGGGAAACUGGGUCUAAUACCAUAUAGGACCGCAUCUUGGAUGGUGUGGUGGAAAGCUUUUGCGGUGUGGGAUGAGCCUGCGGCCUAUCAGCUUGUUGGUGGGGUAAUGGCCUACCAAGGCGGCGACGGGUAUCCGGCCUGAGAGGGUGUACGGACACAUUGGGACUGAGAUACGGCCCAGACUCCUACGGGAGGCAGCAGUGGGGAAUAUUGCACAAUGGGCGCAAGCCUGAUGCAGCGACGCCGCGUGGGGGAUGAAGGCCUUCGGGUUGUAAACUCCUUUCGCUAUCGACGAAGCCACUUGUGGUGACGGUAGGUAGAUAAGAAGCACCGGCUAACUACGUGCCAGCAGCCGCGGUAAUACGUAGGGUGCAAGCGUUGUCCGGAAUUACUGGGCGUAAAGAGCUCGUAGGUGGUUUGUCGCGUCGUCUGUGAAAUCCCGGGGCUUAACUUCGGGCGUGCAGGCGAUACGGGCAUAACUUGAGUGCUGUAGGGGAGACUGGAAUUCCUGGUGUAGCGGUGAAAUGCGCAGAUAUCAGGAGGAACACCGAUGGCGAAGGCAGGUCUCUGGGCAGUUACUGACGCUGAGGAGCGAAAGCAUGGGUAGCGAACAGGAUUAGAUACCCUGGUAGUCCAUGCCGUAAACGGUGGGCGCUAGGUGUAGGGGGCUUCCACGUCUUCUGUGCCGUAGCUAACGCAUUAA